rnacentral:rRNA from 1 species
UACGUAGGUAGCAAGCGUUGUCCGGAUUUACUGGGCGUAAAGGAUGCGUAGGCGGACAUUUAAGUCAGAUGUGAAAUACCCGAGCUUAACUUGGGUGCUGCAUUUGAAACUGGGUGUCUAGAGUGCAGGAGAGGUAAGUGGAAUUCCUAGUGUAGCGGUGAAAUGCGUAGAGAUUAGGAAGAACACCAGUGGCGAAGGCGACUCACUGGCCCGAUACUGACGCUGAGGCACGAAAGCGUGGGGAGCAAACAGG